AUUGAACGCUGGCGGCAGGCCUAACACAUGCAAGUCGAGCGGAGGACGGGAGCUGGCUCCUGGAUUCAGCGGCGGACGGGUGAGUAAUGCCUAGGAAUCUGCAUGGUAGUGGGGGAUAACGUCCGGAAACGGGCGCUAAUACCGCAUACGUCCUGAGGGAGAAAGUGGGGGAUCUUCGGACCUCACGCUAUCAGACGAGCCUAGGUCGGAUUAGCUAGUUGGUGGGGUAAAGGCCUACCAAGGCGACGAUCCGUAACUGGUCUGAGAGGAUGAUCAGUAACACUGGAACGGGAACACGGUCCAGACCCCUACGGGGGGAGGCGUGGGGGAAUUUUGGACAUGGAGCAAAGGCCUGAUCCAGACAUGCCGCGUGUUUAAAGAGGGUCUUGGGAUGGUAAAGCACGUUAAGUUGGGAGGAAGGGCAGUAAGUUAAUACCUUGCUGUUUUGACGUUACCAACAGAGUAAGCACCGGCUAACUUCGUG
rnacentral:rRNA from 1 species